AUUGAACGCUGGCGGCAGGCCUAACACAUGCAAGUCGAACGAGUGGCGGACGGGUGAGUAAUGUCUGGGAAACUGCCUGAUGGAGGGGGAUAACUACUGGAAACGGUAGCUAAUACCGCAUACCAUCAGAUGUUCCCAGAUGGGAUUAGCUUGUUGGUGGGGUAACGGCUCAACAAGGCGACGAUCCAUAGCUGGUCUGAGAGGAUGACCAGCAACACGGGAACUGAGAAACGGUGCAGACUCCUACGUGAGGCACAAGUGGGGAAUAUUGCAGAAUGGGCUAAAUCCUGAUGCAGCCAUGCCGCGUGUAUGAAGAAGGCCUUCGGGUUGUAAAGUAUGUUCAGCGGGGAGGCGUUACCCGAAGAAGAAGCACCGGCUAACUCCGUGCCAGCAGCCGCGGUAAUAC
rnacentral:rRNA from 1 species